rnacentral:rRNA from 1 species
UACGAAGGGGGCUAGCGUUGCUCGGAAUUACUGGGCGUAAAGCGCACGUAGGCGGCUUCUUAAGUCGGUGGUGAAAUCCUGGAGCUCAACUCCAGAACUGCCUCGAUACUGGGAAGCUCGAGUCCGGGGAGAGGUGAGUGGAACUGCGAGUGUAGAGGUGAAAUUCGUAGAUAUCGGGAGAACACCGGUGGCGAAGGCGGGCGAUCUGGGGUCGAUUACUGACGCUGAGGUGCGAAACGUGGGG